rnacentral:rRNA from 1 species
GACGAACGCUGGCGGCGUGCCUAACACAUGCAAGUCGAACGGAGCUUUGCUUUGAACGGCGAGGAGCUUGCUCUUCAAUGUUCUGUGUAAAGCUUAGUGGCGGACGGGUGAGUAACGCGUGAGUAACCUGCCGUUCAGAGGGGGACAACAGUUGGAAACGACUGCUAAUACCGCAUAACGUAUCGGGAAGGCAUCUUCCUGAUACCAAAGAUUUAUCGCUGAAUGCUGGACUCGCGGCUGAUUAGCUAGUUGGUGAGGUAACGGCCCACCAAGGCAACGAUCAGUAGCCGGACUGAGAGGUUGAACGGCCACAUUGGGACUGAGACACGGCCCAGACUCCUACGGGAGGCAGCAGUGGGGGAUAUUGCACAAUGGGGGAAACCCUGAUGCAGCAACGCCGCGUGAAGGAAGAAGGUCUUCGGAUUGUAAACUUCUGUUCUUGGUGACGAAUUUUGAUGGUAGCCAAGGAGAAAGCCACGGCUAACUACGUGCCAGCAGCCGCCGUAAGAC